ACUUAUAACAAUGAUCAGUCUUUAGACCAGAUCCCUUUUGAUUUUGGAAGCUAAAUUGGACCAGCUCUGUUUAAUACUUGGAUAGGAAACCACCAAUGAAUGCCAGAUGUUACAAGCU
rnacentral:rRNA from 11 species